rnacentral:rRNA from 1 species
AGUGAACGCUGGCGGUAGGCCUAACACAUGCAAGUCGAACGGCAGCACAGUAAGAGCUUGCUCUUACGGGUGGCGAGUGGCGGACGGGUGAGGAAUACAUCGGAAUCUACUUUUUCGUGGGGGAUAACGUAGGGAAACUUACGCUAAUACCGCAUACGACCUACGGGUGAAAGCAGGGGAUCUUCGGACCUUGCGCGAUUGAAUGAGCCGAUGUCGGAUUAGCUAGUUGGCGGGGUAAAGGCCCACCAAGGCGACGAUCCGUAGCUGGUCUGAGAGGAUGAUCAGCCACACUGGAACUGAGACACGGUCCAGACUCCUACGGGAGGCAGCAGUGGGGAAUAUUGGACAAAGGGCGCAAGCCUGAUCCAGCCAUACCGCGUGGGUGAAGAAGGCCUUCGGGCUGUAAAGCCCUUUUGUUGGGAAAGAAGAGCAGCAGGUUAAUACCCCGCUGUUCUGACGGUACCCAAAGAAUAAGCACCGGCUAACUUCGUG